rnacentral:rRNA from 1 species
CUGUUGGUUAGCGGCGGACGGGUGAGUAACACGUGGGCAACCUGCCUGUAAGACUGGGUAUAACACCGGGAAACCGGUGCUAAUACCGGAUAAUCCUUUUCCUCUCAUGAGGAAAAGCUGAAAGUCGGUUUCGGCUGACACUUACAGAUGGGCCCGCGGCGCAUUAGCUAGUUGGUGAGGUAACGGCUCACCAAGGCGACGAUGCGUAGCCGACCUGAGAGGGUGAUCGGCCACACUGGGACUGAGACACGGCCCAGACUCCUACGGGAGGCAGCAGUAGGGAAUCUUCCACAAUGGACGAAAGUCUGAUGGAGCAACGCCGCGUGAGCGAUGAAGGCCUUCGGGUCGUAAAGCUCUGUUGUUAGGGAAGAACAAGUACCGGAGUAACUGCCGGUACCUUGACGGUACCUAACCAGAAAGCCACGGCUAACUACGUGCCAGCAGCCGCGGUAAUACGUAGGUGGCAAGCGUUGUCCGGAAUUAUUGGGCGUAAAGCGCGCGCAGGCGGUCCUUUAAGUCUGAUGUGAAAGCCCACGGCUCAACCGUGGAGGGUCAUUGGAAACUGGGGGACUUGAGUGCAGAAGAGGAAAGCGGAAUUCCACGUGUAGCGGUGAAAUGCGUAGAGAUGUGGAGGAACACCAGUGGCGAAGGCGGCUUUCUGGUCUGUAACUGACGCUGAGGCGCGAAGCGUGGGGGAGCAAACAGGAUUAGAUACCCUGGUAGUCACGCCGUAAACGAUGAGUGCUAAGUGUUAGAGGGUUCCGCCCUUUAGUGCUGCAGCUACGCAUUAGCACUCGCUGGGGGAGUACGGUCGCAGCUGAACUCAAGGAAUUGACGGGGACCGCAG